UUAAUGCUGUUCUUUGCAGGGCUCCAGACAAGGGCCCUAUUGGCGCAUGUACAGAUAUAAAAUAAGCACUAUAUGGUUGGAAA